UGUGAAUGACCAGUUCAAG
rnacentral:piRNA from 1 species